AGCGAACGUUUGCGGCGGGCCUAACACAUGCAAGUCGAACGCACUAGCAAUAGUGAGUGGCGCACGGGUGCGUAACACGUGGGUAAUCAACCCUUCAGCCUGGGAUAACGACUCGAAAGGGUCGCUAAUACCGGAUACGGCGCGAGAGGCUUCGGCUUCUCACGAGAAAGCCACGCAAGGGGCACUGAAGGACGAGCCUGCGGCCCAUCAGCUAGUUGGUGAGGUAAGAGCUCACCAAGGCUAAGACGGGUAGCUGGUCUGAGAGGAUGAUCAGCCACACUGGAACUGAGACACGGUCCAGACUCCUACGGGAGGCAGCAGUGGGGAAUAUUGCGCAAUGGGCGAAAGCCUGACGCAGCCACGCCGCGUGAGCGAUGAAGGCCUUCGGUCGUAAGACUCUGUGGGAGGAGACGAAGAAAGACCUGUGAAGAGCAGGCCUUGACGGUAGUCUCC
rnacentral:rRNA from 1 species